rnacentral:rRNA from 1 species
CAGCCACACUAGGACUGAGAUACGGCCUAGACUCCUACGGGAGGCAGCAGUAGGGAAUAUUGGACAAUGGGGGAAACCCUGAUCCAGCGAUGCCGCGUGAAUGAUGAAGGCUUUAGGGUCGUAAAAUUCUUUUAGUAGGGACGAUGAUGACGGUACCUACUGAAUAAGUACCGGCAAACUUCGUGCCAGCAGCCGCGGUAAUACGAAGGGUGCAAGCGUUGUUCGGAAUUAUUGGGCGUAAAGGGCGCGUAGGCGGGCUCUUAAGUUGGUUGUUAAAUUCCGGAGCUUAACUCCGUGAGUGCAUUCAAUACUGAGAGCCUAGAGUUUGGAAGAGGAAAGCGGAAUUCCUAGUGUAGAGGUGAAAUUCGUAGAUAUUGGGAGGAACGCCAAUGGCGGAAGCAGCUUUCUGGUACAUAACUGACGCUGAGGCGCGAAAGCGUGGGGAGCAAACAGGAUUAGAUACCCUGGUAGUCCACGCCCUAAACGAUGAUCGCUAAGUAUCGGA